UGUGUCAAGUACAACACUUUUUUCAGCAGAUUCAUCAUGUCACAAGAGGGAUCCGCCCAGUAUCAAGGAUGAUGUUUGAGAUUGCCCUACUGGUCGCUGAGGCUGCUGACUUCCCCAGGAUCUGCCAUUUAUGUCAAGGAGCGGCAGCCAGAAGAUGUGUUAAAGCACGUUCUUCAGCGUCUCAGGUAAGGGCCGGAGCGAGCGUGUAAGUGGCAAGAGUGUGUGAGAGCCUGUGGCUGUGUCUGUCUGUGUCUGCUCGUCUCUGCAUGUGUGAGCACAUGCUGACUGGAUUUAACCUUGUGUAUAUGACUUUUGCUUUUCAGGUUUUGCAACUC